rnacentral:lncRNA from 1 species
AAUUAUUUCAGUUACGAGAAGUAAUUGUCUGUGGUCAUGCUAAAAUUAAUUCUGUUUGCAAUAACUUAAUAGAAAAGUAGUGUACUUUCCAGGCCUUCACAGGCAGACCUUCUAAAAUGGAAAUUAAAAUGUGGAGGGAGCAUUCAUGUUCUUUGCAAAUGAGAGAAAAUCUGGCAAGGGAUCAUGGAGAAAAACAGAAAGCUUCGGUUUAGAAGUCUUUCCUAGGCAUCUUUUACCUCAAAGGGUAGGAAAGCUGUGCUUGGUCUUUGAAACAGCUGUGAAACCUUCCGCCAGGUUUACAGUGCUGCUGGCACAGAAAGAGCAGGACAAGCUACGGACACUGGGCAGUCUCCAUCACAAAGAAAACGUGUUUUUCAAAAAGCAUGCAGCAUCUUCCCACAUUGAAAGGCUUGUUUGAGAAAAAGACACUACAAAAAGGUAAUUAACAGUCAUUAUUUCUAGGGUCAGUCCAUCAG